UACGUAGGGGGCAAGCGUUGUCCGGAAUCAUUGGGCGUAAAGAGCGCGUAGGCGGCCCUGUAAGUCCGCUGUGAAAGUCAAGGGCUCAACCCUUGAAUGCCGGUGGAUACUGCAGGGCUAGAGUCCGGAAGAGGCGAGUGGAAUUCCUGGUGUAGCGGUGAAAUGCGCAGAUAUCAGGAGGAACACCGAUGGCGAAGGCAGACUCGCUGGGACGGUAACUGACGCUGAGGCGCGAAGCGUGGGAGCAAACAGG
rnacentral:rRNA from 1 species